UACGUAGGGGGCAAGCGUUGUCCGGAGUUACUGGGCGUAAAGCGCGCGCAGGCGGCGGUGCUGGCCCGGCGUGAAAGCCCCCCGGCUCAACCGGGGGAGGGUCGUCGGGGGACCGCACCGCUUGAGGGCGGUAGGGGCUGGUGGAAUGCCUGGUGUAGUGGUGAAAUGCGUAGAGAUCAGGCGGAACACCCGUGGCGAAGGCGGCCAGCUGG
rnacentral:rRNA from 1 species